AGGACUGAUCAGUCAUCAUGCUUGUGAUGAUAACUUCCUUUUUCCAUGUUCAUCAAGUGCACGACUUAAGUCGUUUUCUCAGAUAUGUGCAUGCAUAUCAGGAACCCUUUGGACCCUCCUUCAUGCUUGGAAGAAGUAAAAAUUCAGUUAACCUCUGUGAUAUUGAUGCUUGUCUUCGUAUAUUCAUAUGUGAGUAUGGCACUAUGCCAGUUUAUUCACUUGUCUGAAACUUCGCAAUCAUGCAGAAAAACAAUUUUUUGGAAUGCUUUUUUUUUGUUGGCAGGAUUCAUAUUGAGCAUGAUGUGCAAAAUCACAACAUGUCCAUCAUCUUGACCAUCAACAGUCUGAAGAUUAUAAUCCUCGUCGUAUGAUGAUUGAGACCACCACAAGAUGAUGGCCAGGCAAUUCUUUUCUAGAAAAGUUAGUUGAUAAGUAAUGUGAUCCGGUGACGACAGCGGAUGCCGAUGGCAACACAUGCAGGCGGAGCCGAAACCACCACCCGUUUUGCAUGAUUUGGUCCCGCCACACACGCGCUCGCGCUGGGUGGAGGGGCCUAGGGAGGGAGCCAAAGGUGGUGGAGCUAUCAAAAGCAGCAUCCACUGGGCGAUCCAUGGACAGAAAACUAAUGGCUGCUUUGGCCUGCGUCCCUGUGAGGUUAGCACACAAUGAGCUCAUGGCAACACUUGUCCUGCGUAGGAUAUAGUGGAGGUCAGUUCACCCUAUCAUUGACGUGCUUGGGCCAUUAGGGAGACGAGAGGGGAUGGGUGAUGUUCAGUUUGUGGCCGUGAUCUCGACAUGUCGAUGCCCGGGAAACAGUAAACUACGUGUGUGCUGGAUUUGUUUGAGAUGCAUGCUGAAUUCUGCGGAUUGAGA